rnacentral:rRNA from 1 species
AGGCCUAACACAUGCAAGUCGCACGGUCAGCAAUGGCAGUGGCGGACGGGUGAGUAACACGUAGGAAUCUAUCCCAGGGUGGGGGACAACAGCGGGAAACUGCUGCUAAUACCGCAUGAUACCUGAGGGUCAAAGGCUUUAAGUCGCCUUGGGAGGAGCCUGCGUCUGAUUAGCUAGUUGGUGGGGUAAAGGCCUACCAAGGCGACGAUCAGUAGCUGGUCUGAGAGGAUGAUCAGCCACAUUGGGACUGAGACACGGCCCAAACUCCUACGGGAGGCAGCAGUGGGGAAUAUUGGACAAUGGGGGCAACCCUGAUCCAGCAAUGCCGCGUGUGUGAAGAAGGUCUUCGGAUUGUAAAGCACUUUUGGCAGGGACGAUGAUGACGGUACCUGCAGAAUAAGCCCCGGCUAACUUCGUGCCAGCAGCCGCGGUAAUACGAAGGGGGCUAGCGUUGCUCGGAAUGACUGGGCGUAAAGGGCGCGUAGGCGGCAUGUACAGUCAGAAGUGAAAUUCCUGGGCUUAACCUGGGGACUGCUUUUGAUACGUGCAAGCUAGAGUGAGGAAGAGGGUUGUGGAAUUUCCAGUGUAGAGGUGGAAUUCGUAGAUAUUGGAAAGAACACCGGUGGCGAAGGCGGCAACCUGGUCCUUUACUGACGCUGAGGCGCGAAAGCGUGGGGAGCAAACAGGAUUAGAUACCCUGGUAGUCCACGCUGUAAACGAUGUGUGCUGGAUGUUGGAAAACUUAGUUUUUCAGUGUCGUAGCUAACGCGAUAAGCACACCGCCUGGGGAGUACGGCCGCAAGGUUGAAACUCAAAGGAAUUGACGGGGGCCCGCACAAGCGGUGGAGUACGUGGUUUAAUUCGAAGCAACGCGCAGAACUUUACCAGGAUUUGACAUGGGGAGGACCGGUACAGAGA